rnacentral:lncRNA from 13 species
CACUGGACACAGAGACAUUACAAGGGUGUCCAUGAGUUCGUCUGACUCCGGGGAAGUAGAUUAAGGGCCUUAAUGCCAAAAUCCCCAAGUAUCCCUUUAAUAAUAAUAUAAAUCAAAACAAACAUGUUAAUGACGAGCAAAUUCUGAAAUAGCACCCUGUUCCCUAUAAAGUGCACUACCGCUACUUUAGUGCCCUAUUGUGGUCCUAAAUAGUGCAUUAUAUAGGGGAACAGGGUGCCAUUCGGGGACGAAUGAAUUGUUUCUUAAUUGGUUUUCAGACUAGGUGGUUUUUCUUACUUUGCAAUAUAUCAACAAACACAUUUUGCAGUGUUUUCAACAUCUAUCUAUCAUGUCUUAUUGCUCAUCUGUUCAAGACCUCUCCUGUUUUCAGAGAACAAUUCUGGACAUCAAUACAGAAUACAGCUAUAGAAUUCUAGACAUCAAUACAGAAUACAGCUAUAGAAUUCUAGAAUACAGCUACAGAAUUCUAGACAUCAGUACAGAAUACAGCUAUAGCUCUGAUGGCUCUGCUUAUUUGUUGGGUCAAGUUGCCCCUAAAUACUGGUCUUGGGCAGUUUUGCUAGCCUGGGUCCCACAUCUUUGUGUUAUCUUUCUAACUCCCAGCUGUGUGAGGAAGGAAGCUAUACAGUUAAGCAAGCACAGUGAAACCUAUUACACCUACUCCAUUGCUAACUCUCAUUGUCAAGCCAUGUGUGUGGGAUGUCAAUUCCAUAAUGAGUUGGCAAGAGAGCACAAACAGACUGGCACCCAGGCUAAUACCUAGUAUAUCACCUAGCCUGGGCAUCAGUCUGGUUGUGCUAACAUUCCACACCUUGUAGUGUGUUGUCAUAUGUUUGGCUGUGGCAAGGUAUAUGAUGGCACAAACUGAUCUGGGACCAGGCCUACCAAAACACUUAAGAAGUGGGUGACAACCUGCACCUAUAUCUGGAUCUAUCACAGAUCAUUGCACCCUUACAUUGAAAUGUCUUUCUUCUUCAGUGAUUUUUGUUGUUGUUGGUUUUGAUAGCGUGCUCAAUGCUAUCGAUCUAGUCAUGUGGCUUUUCUCAGUGUAUUAAGCUGAUAUGCAAAGUAGUUUCUCCUAAAUAUAACAGAGCAUUUAUUUUUUAUUUUUUCGAUGAUGGUGGUUAUUUUACAUCCUUGAAAGAAGUUUAAUAGUAAAGAGUUUGAACAAUAAAGAAAUAUGAGAGUCCAGUCAAAAGUAGUGUAAUAUAUCUAUAGGGGAGGAUUUGGGACGCACUUUUACGUUACACCCUUAGGGUUGAAAUGUAUUGAAGUACAGAGGUUUUUUUAGUUGUAUUUUAUUAAGAGAAAAUCUUUGAUUUCGAGCUGCUUCAUGUGUUUGUGUCUUUGUAACGAUGAAAGAUAAAACCUUGCGUUUUUUUCUCUGUUUGUAUAUUUGACGGGAACACAGGAACAAUGUAACUGAGUUUGCAUCCAAAAUAGCAACCUAUUCCCUAUGUAGUGCCCUACUUAUGACAGGCUCUGGUCUAAAGUAGGGCACUAAUAUAGGGAAUAGGGUGCCGUUUGGGACACAGAGAGAGAGAAAGUGACCGAUCAUCAUCUUUACCUCACUGAGGGAAUUUUCAGGGAUUGUUUUGACAAUGCAUCUUCAUACCCGUUUAAUACCUGGUUAAUACCCGUUCAACACUCUUUCAAUACC